rnacentral:rRNA from 1 species
GAUGAACGCUGGCGGUGUGCCUAAUACAUGCAAGUCGAGCGAACGGACGAGAAGCUUGCUUCUCUGAUGUUAGCGGCGGACGGGUGAGUAACACGUGGAUAACCUACCUAUAAGACUGGGAUAACUUCGGGAAACCGGAGCUAAUACCGGAUAAUAUUUUGAACCGCAUGGUUCAAAAGUAAAAGACGGUCUUGCUGUCACUUAUAGAUGGAUCCGCGCUGCAUUAGCUAGUUGGUAAGGUAACGGCUUACCAAGGCAACGAUGCAUAGCCGACCUGAGAGGGUGAUCGGCCACACUGGAACUGAGACACGGUCCAGACUCCUACGGGAGGCAGCAGUAGGGAAUCUUCCGCAAUGGGCGAAAGCCUGACGGAGCAACGCCGCGUGAGUGAUGAAGGUCUUCGGAUCGUAAAACUCUGUUAUUAGGGAAGAACAUAUGUGUAAGUAACUGUGCACAUCUUGACGGUACCUAAUCAGAAAGCCACGGCUAACUACGUGCCAGCAGCCGCGGUAAUACGUAGGUGGCAAGCGUUAUCCGGAAUUAUUGGGCGUAAAGCGCGCGUAGGCGGUUUUUUAAGUCUGAUGUGAAAGCCCACGGCUCAACCGUGGAGGGUCAUUGGAAACUGGAAAACUUGAGUGCAGAAGAGGAAAGUGGAAUUCCAUGUGUAGCGGUGAAAUGCGCAGAGAUAUGGAGGAACACCAGUGGCGAAGGCGACUUUCUGGUCUGUAACUGACGCUGAUGUGCGAAAGCGUGGGGAUCAAACAGGAUUAGAUACCCUGGUAGUCCACGCCGUAAACGAUGAGUGCUAAGUGUUAGGGGGUUUCCGCCCCUUAGUGCUGCAGCUAACGCAUUAAGCACUCCGCCUGGGGAGUACGACCGCAAGGUUGAAACUCAAAGGAAUUGACGGGGACCCGCACAAGCGGUGGAGCAUGUGGUUUAAUUCGAAGCAACGCGAAGAACCUUACCAAAUCUUGACAUCCUUUGACAACUCUAGAGAUAGAGCCUUCCCCUUCGGGGGACAAAGUGACAGGUGGUGCAUGGUUGUCGUCAGCUCGUGUCGUGAGAUGUUGGGUUAAGUCCCGCAACGAGCGCAACCCUUAAGCUUAGUUGCCAUCAUUAAGUUGGGCACUCUAAGUUGACUGCCGGUGACAAACCGGAGGAAGGUGGGGAUGACGUCAAAUCAUCAUGCCCCUUAUGAUUUGGGCUACACACAUGCUACAAUGGACAAUACAAAGGGCAGCGAAACCGCGAGGUCAAGCAAAUCCCAUAAAGUUGUUCUCAGUUCGGAUUGUAGUCUGCAACUCGACUACAUGAAGCUGGAAUCGCUAGUAAUCGUAGAUCAGCAUGCUACGGUGAAUACGUUCCCGGGUCU